rnacentral:rRNA from 1 species
AGACAGAGGAUGCAAGUGUUAUUCGGAAUGAUUGGGCGUAAAGAGUCUGUAGGCGGUUUAGAAAGUCUUUUGUGAAAUACUUCAGCUCAACUGAGGCUCCGCAAAAGAAACUUCUAGACUUGAGGAAAGUAGAGGUACAGGGAAUUUCCGGUGGAGCGGUGAAAUGCGUAGAUAUCGGAAGGAACACCAAUAUGGCGAAGGCACUGUACUGGGCUUUUCCUGACGCUCAGAGACGAAAGCUGAAGGAGUGAUUAGGAUUAGAUACCCUAGUAAUUUCAGCCGUAAACGAUGAAAACUCACUGUCGAGCCAAUAUGUGGAGCGGUGGUCAAGCUAACGCGUGAAGUUUUCCGCCUGGGGAUUACGCUUGCAAAAGUGAAACUCAAAGGAAUUGACGGGGACCCGCACAAGCGGUGGAGUAUGUGGUUUAAUUCGACGCAACGCGAAGAACCUUACCUGGUCUUGACAUCCUGCGAACUUUCUAGAGAUAGAUUGGUGCCUUCGGGAACGCAGUGAC